CUUUUUAAUUAUUUUUUUAAAAUUUAAAAGACAAAAAUUAUUGAUUUUGUCAAUUUUUCUGAUCCAAUCCAUUGAUUCCCCGAUUCUAUACGGAGACAAGUGGGACGGAUUCGAGUCACCCCAUCAAAUUUUUUAAACACACAGUACGAGAGGAGAUAGAGAGAAGGAAUUGGGGGAGAAAACGUGCGGGCACUUGAAAAGCCGAGUUCACACGAUAAAAUUAACAACCAAACCCCGUCUGAACCAAAAGAAUUUGAAGCGCCUUCAAAAAGCUGAGCGUUGUCCUUCACUGCGUCUAACCGUGGCCUAAAUCACUAGAAACAAGCUCGAAAAUGGCGGAAUUACAGUCGCUGGAAGGCCCAUCUAAUGGGCUUUUAUCAGGCACUCUUGUUCCAUAUCUUGGCUCUAAGAGAGUGAGAAGACCCAGUGUCAGGUUAGGUGAGAUAGGAGAGCAACGUGCUUAUGAGUCUUAUGCAAAGAAAAACAAACAGCUCAGAGUUUCAGAAGAACCUAAGUCAAGAACUUCAGAUGGGUACUUGCACCAUGGCCAUAAUGGAGCUAUUAAAGCCGUUUCCAAGCGAAAAGCCUCUGUGAAUUUAGGGAAUGGGGAUAGCCAUGAAUCUCGCGGACCUGAGGAAGAAAACCAAUCUCAUGAUUUAGGCUCUAAUGAAGGGAAUUUGGAGUUGGUAGAAUUAAAAGCAGGAGAACCCAAAGGGUCAACCACCCAUAUGUUGGAAUCGCCUGAAAACGCGACCACAAAUGUGGGGUUUUCUGACUCUUAUCAGAGGGUCUUGAAAGCCCAUGGAAAUGAGAGAGAAAGCCUUUUAAUGGGCAAAAGAAGUCAUAGAAAGUCAAGAGGAGCUCGAAUUACUGAUAGCAAUAGGGAGCCUGUCGCUUCUGUUGACUGUGUGGAGAUGGUUGGAUUGGAAUUGCCUUCUGAUGCAGAGGAUAGGUCAAAGUACAAUGGGGAUGAUGAAUUGAGAAGAGUUGAAAAAUGUGGGAGAAAAGAGAGGAAAUUCGGAGGUAUAAAAAGUAGCCAGUUUUUGGAUGAUGAGGUUUGGGGAUGGCUGAACGAAAUGGGUUUAGGCAGAUAUGCCCCAGUCUUUGAAAUGCACGAGGUUGAUUAUGCAGUCUUGCCUCUCUUGACUCUCGAUGACCUUAAAGAUAUGGGGAUAAAUGCAGUUGGCUCGCGGCGAAAAAUGUACUGUGCGAUUCAAAAGCUCAGGGGAGGAAUCCCUUGAAUUCGAUGGAAUUAAUAAUGGGGGUUUCCUUAAGCCUCUUCAACAGGGAAGAAAGAAAUGACCAUGUGAGGGUUUUGAUGGUUGGUGGUAUUUCAUAGUAAGAGUUCUACAGUAUGACACCACUGGCCUUUUCUUUUUUGGAGUUUAGGUAGCUGACCUUUGUUAAGGUUGGGUGCCCUGUACAAAAAUCCAUUUAGUGCCCAAAAUGUGCUCUACAACAAGAACGAAGAAAACAAAAUAACAAGAAUGGAGACUACAUGCUAAAAAAUUGCCAAUAAUCCCUGUUGUGGAGCUUAAGUCUUGCUCCUUCCCCAACUAAAGCAUCGGCAGCUGCGUUGGCUUCCCUGAAGGUAUGCCUCCAAGUGAUGCGCAUUGUCCUGCAAACAGUGAAAUUUCAUUGAAGAUAUGGUCGUCUCCAAGGGCAUGGUGCAGAGCCAGAAGCCCAGGCGAUGACAUUUCUGGAGUCACCCGUGGCUAUCAAUUCCGAACUCCAGCUAGGAUUAAAAUUCAAAGGCCCGCUAUAAGAAAGCAAGGGCCUCCACAGAUGUAGAGUCCAUAAAUCCGAUAGGGAGGGAGAAAGAGAGGACAGUGCUGUCGAUGUUUCUGAAAAUUCCCCCAGUGCCGGAUGGUCCCGGAUUGCCAAGAGAGCAACCAUCGAAAUUUAGCUUGUUAGGCCACUUUCUGGUGGUCUCCACAGAGAUGCACAUGAGAUCCUUAGGGGUCUCAAGUUCAAGAGGGCCUGCCAAUUGUGAUGGAUAUUGGUAAAGGAGAAAUCUCUGAAAAGCUUGUAAUUUUGGCCCAAAAGGAGACGAGGGUUCUGAUUCUAUCGAUCAAUGUAGGGAUUGUGGCUCUCUCCUCUCUGAAAAUUCUGUUGUUCCUUUCGAGCCAAAUAACCCACAGCGUAGCGGCUAUUGAGGCCCUCCAAAGGAGAUAGCCUGACUUGGGGAAAGGGGUGCUGAGGAAGGCAGAAAAGAGAUGGGGGAUCGAUUGAGGGGUCACACAGGACCAAUUGAACAGAUGGAGUAGGUCGCUCCAUAGGGCUGAAGCAAUUUCACAGUGGAUGCCGAGAUUUGUGUUGGUUUCUUGAGCCUCCAAACACGACACAUCCAUUGGGUAAAGGGAAGCCCCUUCUCUGAAGUUGAUCAACAGUUAAGGCUCUUUCAUGAUGAGCAAUCCAGCGGAAGACUUGGACCUUGGGUGGAAUUAAGAAGAGCCACGCUUUAGCCGCAAUGGAGGGGGGGGCUGCAGGAAGGGUAGGUGGCAGGGUGAUGGUUCGAUAGGAGGACACGGAAAAGGCCCUGACGCAGCCAGUGACCAAACAAUCUUGUCUUCUGCAACAGGGUACAGGAACACAGAGUGGAGGAGAGCUGAGAUCUCCAAAAACUCUUCCAUCUCGUGGUCUGAAAUGGGCCUUCUAAAGUUGGGGUUCCAUGUUCUGGCAGGCCAUGAUCUAACAAAGUUAUCGGCCACUGUUGAUUGGGAAUCUCAGGCUAGGAGGAAGAGAUUUGGGAACUGGUCCCUAAGUGGAGCAUGUCCUACCCAGGUGUCGGACCAGAACAAGACCCGGCUACCCUCGCUCGGAUGAAAGCAUAUCUGUUUUAAGAAGAAGUUGCAGCUAUGGAGAAGGGACCUGAAAAGCCUGCGAUGUUACCACUACCCCUGCAUGUUGGGAGCCAUGCAUGAUCACCAUGGCAGUAUUUGUGACGAAUAACCUCUCUCCAAAGACGAUUGGGUUUCAUGGCAUAACGCCACCACUAUUUCCCCAGAAGCACAGUAUUGUUAAACUUAAGAUGCAAAUGCCCAAACCUCCUUAGAGUUUUCUUUUCGUCUAUUAUGGGUAUUGGGUAUUUUCUCAUGAAAAAUUUCGAAAUUCUCUUGAGAGAUCACUCCAUCUAGUAAUUUCUAGAAGAAGAUUUGUUUGUGCAUGCUAUUAUGGUCAGUA